rnacentral:rRNA from 1 species
CUACGGGGUGCUGCAGUGAGGAAUAUUGCACAAUGGGGGGAACCCUGAUGCAGCAACGCCGCGUGGAGGAUGACGCAUUUCGGUGUGUAAACUCCUUUUAUAUGUCAAGAAAAUGACGGUAGCAUAUGAAUAAGCGCCGGCUAACUCCGUGCCAGCAGCCGCGGUAAUACGGAGGGCGCAAGCGUUACUCGGAAUCACUGGGCGUAAAGGACGCGUAGGCGGGUUGAAAAGUCAGGUGUGAAAGCCUACAGCUUAACUGUAGAACUGCACUUGAAACUCUCAAUCUAGAGUAUGGGAGGGGCAGAUGGAAUUAGUGGUGUAGGGGUAAAAUCCGUAGAUAUCACUAGGAAUACCUAAAGCGAAGGCGAUCUGCUGGAACAUUACUGACGCUAAGGCGUGAAAGCGUGGGGAGCAAACAGGAUUAGAUACCCCGGUAGUC